rnacentral:rRNA from 1 species
AUGAUCAGCCACAUGGGGACUGAGACACGGCCCAGACUCAUACGGGAGGCAGCAGUGGGGAAUUUUGGACAAUGGGGGCAACCCUGAUCCAGCCAUGCCGCGUGAGUGAAGAAGGCCUUCGGGUUGUAAAGCUCUUUCGGUAGGAACGAAACGGUUACGGCUAAUACCUGUGACUAAUGACGGUACUUACAGAAGAAGCACCGGCUAACUACGUGCCAGCAGCCGCGGUAAUACGUAGGGUGCGAGCGUUAAUCGGAAUUACUGGGCGUAAAGGGUGCGCAGGCGGUCUCGUAAGCUGGGUGUGAAAGCCCCGGGCUUAACCUGGGAAUGGCAUUCAGGACUGCGAGGCUUUGAGUGCGGCAGAGGGAGGUGGAAUUCCACGUGUAGCAGUGAAAUGCGUAGAGAUGUGGAGGAACACCGAUGGCGAAGGCAGCCUCCUGGGCCAGCACUGACGCUCAUGCACGAAAGCGUGGGGAGCAAACAGGAUUAGAUACCCUGGUAGUCCACGCCCUAAACGAUGUCAACUGGUUGUUGGUGGGGUUAAACCCAUUAGUAACGAAGCUAACGCGUGAAGUUGACCGCCUGGGGAGUACGGCCGCAAGGUUAAAACUCAAAGGAAUUGACG